CUCCGUCCCUCCCAGCUCGCUCCCCCGCGCGGAGCUCAGCUCUGUCAGCGGCCGGUGCACCUCGCGUCCGGGUCAGGCCUCCGGGCCGGCUUCCGCGGUCGCCAUGACGGCGGCCGUGUUCUUCGGCUGCGCCUUCAUUGCCUUCGGGCCUGCGCUGGCCCUCUACAUCUUCACCAUCGCCACCGAGCCGUUGCGCGUCAUCUUCCUCAUCAUCGGAGCUUUUUUCUGGUUGGUGUCUCUGCUGUUUUCCUCCCUUUUUUGGUUCAUGGCAAGAACCAUUACUGACAACAAAGAUGGACCAAUACAGAAAUAUCUGCUGAUCUUGGGAGUGUUAGUCUCAGUCCUUAUCCAAGAAAUGUUUCGGUUUAUGUAUUAUAAACUUUUAAAAAAAGCCAGUGAGGGUUUGAAGAGUAUAAAUCCAGAUGAGACAGCACCUUCUAUGCGAUUGCUGGCCUAUGUUUCUGGUUUAGGCUUUGGAAUCAUGAGUGGAGUAUUUGCCUUUGUAAAUACCCUUUCCGACUCCUUGGGACCAGGCACAGUGGGCAUUCAUGGAGAUUCUCCCCAGUUCUUCCUAAAUUCAGCUUUCAUGACACUGGUUAUCAUAUUGCUGCACGUGUUCUGGGGCAUCAUAUUUUUUGAUGGCUGCGAGAAGAAAAAGUGGUCUGCCCUUCUUGUAGUUCUUCUGACCCAUCUGCUGGUGUCAGCCCUGACCUUCAUAAGUCCUCAUUAUGGAAUCAAUCUGGUGUCAACAUAUAUAAUUAUGGUACUUAUGGGCAUCUGGGCAUUCUUUGUUGCUGGAGGCAGCUGCCGAAGCCUGAAAUUCUGCCUACUCUGCCAAGACAAGGACUUCCUCCUUUUCAACCAGCGCUCCAGAUAACCUCUGAGAACCAGCACCUGUCAAACAUUGGAACAAGGACUUCCCCUGUGUCCAGCCUCAACAUGUGAGAAACCUCCAGUGGAAAGAAGUAUAUAGUUUAUCUUCACCUCAUUGAAAAUGCUGAAUAGAUGAACCACUCAACCACUCAACUGGCUUAUGGAUUCAGUCGCAGUAAAAGAAUUUUUAAGGAUUUGACACAUUCUCAGUACAGUUCCUGUGUGCCCGUGCUUAAGGAGAUGAAACAAAAGAGCCGCGAGCGCAGACGCUUUCUUGCCUGAUGGGUCCUGCCAUAUUAGACCAUGAGCUGCUGUGGCUACAAAUGUGGAUUAUGCCCACUCUCUGAAGCCUUACAAGGCACCUUCCCUGCACGUUGGUGAUGCUAUGCAUCACCUGGCAAGGCUGAAGAUGGGCCUUGAUGCCAAGAAAGCCUAGGGGAUAUUUUUCAAGACCCAGAGAUCUCAGCCUACCGCUCGCUUGCUCUUAAAGUGAUGUGGGGAACGAAGGACUAAAGCAGCCCCAUGCCAAGGACUGAGGCCCACCAAGCUCCGUUUGAAUUUUACAUUGUCUAUAUUUUGACGCAGUACACAUCCUCUCCACGUGAAGACCUACUGAUUUUCAGCAAUUUUGCAUCGGUUUAUGGAGCACCUAUUAUGAGCAGGAAUUACUCAGGGUCUCGGGUCCGCCGGGUUGAACACAACAACAGGGCCCCUGCUUGCCCAAACUUGCAUCCUUUGGGAUACUUCAGGCUGGAAAAAUUGGUGUGGGACUGACCACAGCUCCAGAUAGGUCUUUGGGGCUGGUGGAGGUAUGACCUUCCUAAUAGGAAACCCUUGGGGACACUGACUCUUGAUACCCACAUCUAGAGCAAAUAUAAAACCCAAUCUGAUAAGGAUGCUUGAAAAAUAUCAAGUAAUUAUAUGCCUGGAAUCACAGAGCUCAGUGCAAAGUUUAUACUGGGAGAGUGUGACAAUACUACAAACUAAUGCCAAACUACCAGUGAGCAGGAAGAGACUUAAAAAAUAAAUCCUCCAGGGCUCAGGCUUCUUGCUAACUACCGGGUAAUUGUCCUUCCUCUGGAAAUGGCAAUAAACCCUCCAAUCCCAUGUUCAGAUAAACUUUCUUACUCCCACAGGAAAAAAAAAAAAAAAAUCUUUAAAGAAUGUAAAGCUGUGUUUAAAAGAUUAUCUCCCUGUGGUAAUUAAAUGGAUUUUCAGGCGGAGGUUUCCCCAGAAAAGCAAGUAAUUGGCAUGUCAUGGCUCGUUAGGGUGGAACCAUGGUGCUCUGUGGGCUCUCUGUGAGUUGGGACCCAAGCUUUGCCAUCUGGGGUCCAUUCAUCAGUAUUUCAGCACGAGGAAUGAAAGUAAUUGGAGCAGAGGGGAAGGGAAAGGAACACCACUUCUUCCGGGAACCUGUCCAUAGACAACAGCACUAUUUCACAAGAGUGGACGUGUGUACACUGGCCUCACAGAAUCCCGGCUCCCUACCCCUUGUUCUCUAACCAGGCGACUUCAUCUGAGAGUAAGGAGAGUCGGAAGAAAAACUUGCUAUGAGGAGUUGAUCCAAGGUCUGGACAUACACGGUAGAACCCUACUAAUUUUUCAGGCUGUCAACCUUUGGAUAUACCUUCUUGGAAAUGUUAGAGCUUGAAGGGAUUUCAAAAUUUCCUGUCCAACCUUUCAAUGGACACCAGUUUUUCUCACUUGCGCAUGUUAGAGUCUUCACUGAGCUAUAUUUUAAUUUUCAAGAUCUCAGAGCCCUGGACUCAAAGCAACUCAAGCCCACCAAGAUGGCAGAGGGAGAGGGUGGCUAGAGGACACCAAGAUAAGACCAUUACUCAGCGGAGGACAAAACCAAAUUCCUUAGGGACAGCAGGAAGCAGAGAUGGCGCAAUCGUGAGGUAGUAUGCAAACCCUCAGGUCAAGAAGAGGCACAGCUCUGGGGUGGCAAGCCUUCUACAGUGAGGCUGCCAGCCUUUUUGUUGCUCCCAAUGACGUUUGGACCCACGGCCAGGGUGGCAGAAGCUGCCGGCCAGGCACAAAAGGAAAAACCCCGUGAGUGAAGAGGUACAGCAAUGAGAUGAUGAUUUCUCCUUGGACACAUGACUAAAGGGAACUGGGUUAGAAGGACUUUCUCUUCCCAAAACAGAGGUUCCAAAAGGUUCCAUGAAGAGGGCAUUCUAGUGCUAACUAAACUAAGAACUCCCUGGGGACAGGAGCACCUCACUGUGACCACUGUGAACUCAUGUGGUGAUUAGGGUCACACACAUAACAGGCCUUUGGUAAACAGUUUCCCCAAGAAUAAAAGACCCCAAAGAACAGAGAGCUUGGGAAAGGUCAUCAGGAGGAAUUUUUCUUUUUCAUUGUGCCCUAGAUACUCUUUAUUGGAACUGACACUGGAUUAGGUAUUUGGGGGCAAGAAAGGCUAGGGAUAUAAAAGGCAACAGAGUCGGUGUUGGCAAAAGCUUCUUCGGAAAGAGAAGCGGCUAUGUUGGAUGAGAAGAGUCCAGAAAACAAGAUUUCAGUGCCAGCUGUCCCACCACCUCAGUGAGUGGACCCUGAGCAAGUCACAUUCCCUGCCUGAGUCUCCUUUACCCUUCAUACAAAUGAGAGAUUUGAACACUGUGUUCUGGAAGUUCCGUUCUGGCUCUCAGCUCCGAGAUGCAUGGACAUUACUAGGACUAAGCGCCUCUACCCUCUGUAUCAGGCAAGUUUGAACGGGUUGGAGAGAGCCGCUCAUGCCAAGCAGCUAGCUCCCGGGUGUGUGACAAGGUGCCUGGUGGGAAGCGACUGUGGGACUGAGAACGCAGGGCACUGCUGCUCCCGGGGAGGGCGAGCCCCCGGCCUCAGGUACCUGCCGCGGAGUGAGCUGCCAUCCCCGCCUGUCUUUGAGCACCAGCCACAGCCCCUUAGGGGCAACAGGGUCUAAAAAGCGUUUUCUACUCCUGCUUUAUUAUUAUUAUUUGUAGUAGUUUUGAUCCUUACAACUCUAUAGGAUCAGCAAGGCAAAAACUGUACCAUGUUAUAGAUGAAGAAUUGAGAUUAAAUGAUUUGCCCUAAUUAGACCUUGGCUUAGUUACAGAGUUAUCUUGCCUGGGUCACAGAACCUCCAUGCCCUCCUGUUUUAGUAUUUAUCCAGGAGAUUUGGGGCAUGCCUGUUUCCUCCCUCUCCCGUGCUCUUCAGGAAGGCAAGGGCCAUGUCACGUUCGUCCCUGCCUCUCCCAUAAUGCCUGGCACAGAGCAGGCCCUCACCUGUUUGCGGAGCUGCAUUCUGAUGCUAAUUUUGUGCUUGUCCUCUCCAGGGAAGCAUGCCCCUCUAUUAAUCCCCCUAGCUUCCCUACCACCCUGUAUCAUUUUUUUCCCAUCAAAAAAGAAAAGAAAAAUUAGGUCACUUACUCAGGUUCAAAAUUUACCUUUCUAGCUUCCUAGUUUACCUGCAUGAGGAUGUGUUCUGUUUGGGAGCACUCAGUGAGAAAGAAAUCUGCUUUGCUGCGCUGUGGCCUGGGAGAUGGCCUGCCAAGUACGGGGCUUCACAGCAGUUCAUAGGAUCCCCCACCAGCACGGGAUGGCCAGUGUCCCCUUCCUGCACGGCUGGGGACCUUGGCAGAGCAGCCUCCCACCUUCGUGGCUUGUGAGUGCGAGGGGUGUGCGGUGCCGUGUGGGUGGGCACCAGGGAACCAGUAUUGGGGUGUUGUCAGUAGACCCCUUUUGACCCCCCACCCCUGGCCUCCGCCUGGGGGAUGUGUGACUUGUCGCUGAAGUAAUGCUGGCCUUUUGCAGGCAGCCCAGACUGUGGCUUUUCAACUUGGUCUCAGCUUCCACAUUCAUGCCAAGCGCCCUGGUGCCAGGAAACCUCACUUGGGACUAACUCUUCCAAAAGAGGCGUUUAUUUCCAGCUACCAUAAAAACUCCACUUUUCUCAGUUUUGACUUUGCCUUUCCAGUUAAUUGGAUUCCUCACAUGAUCCUGAUAAAGGAGAUCAUGUGUAUCUCCCAGUUUGUUUUUCCAAACAAAGUCAAAGCAUUAUUUCUUUCCAGCUCAUGUUUUUCUGUUCUGAAAUGUGACAGGAGAUUAACAUGGCACAGCUCAAAAUGCCUCUUGUGAUUUCUGAUUGGGAGUUAUGAGGCCCAGGGAACAAGAUCUGCAUUACCCAAGGACCAGAAUUUU